UACAGAGGUCCCAAGCGUUGUUCGGAUUCACUGGGCGUAAAGGGUGCGCAGGUGGGCUGGUAAGUUCGAUGUGAAAGCCCCGGGCUUAACCCGGGAAUGGCAUUGGAUACUACUGGUCUGGAGGAUCGGAGGGGGGACUGGAAUUCUUGGUGUAGCAGUGAAAUGCGUAGAUAUCAAGAGGAACACCAGUGGCGAAGGCGAGUCCCUGGACGAUACCUGACACUGAGGCACGAAAGCGUGGGUAGCGAACAGG
rnacentral:rRNA from 1 species